rnacentral:rRNA from 1 species
GCACCCGCGGUAAUUCCAGCUCCAAUAGCGUAUAUUAAAGUUGUUGCAGUUAAAAAGCUCGUAGUUGGAUUUCUGCGAGGGUGCCAAUGUCCGCCGACGCGCGUGCGCAGCGGCGCCCUCGCAUCCUUCUGUUACCACCUCUCGGCAUUCACUUGCCGGUGGUCGGCUCAGAGAAUUUACCUUGAGAAAAUUAGAGUGUUUCAGGCAGGCUAGGCCGGAAUACAUUAGCAUGGAAUAAUGGAAUAGGACUACGGUCUCGUUGUUGGUUUGAGGGACUGCAGUAAUGAUUAAUAGGGAUAGUUGGGGGCAUUAGUAUUUAAUUGUCAGAGGUGAAGUUCUCAGAUUUGUUAAAGACUAACUUAUGCGAAAGCAUUUGCCAAGGAUGUUUUCAUUAAUCAAGAACGAAAGU